UACGUAGGCAGCGAGCGUUGUUCGGAAUUACUGGGCGUAAAGAGUGUGUAGGCGGUGCUCUAAGUUUGGUGUGAAAUCUCCCGGCUCAACUGGGAGGGUGCAUCGAAAACUGGAGUGCUCGAGGGUGGGAGAGGUAAGCGGAAUUCCUGGUGUAGCGGUGAAAUGCGUAGAUAUCAGGAGGAACACCGGUGGCGAAGGCGGGUCUCUGGGCCGAUACUGACGCUGAGGAGCGAAAGCGUGGGGAGCGAACAGG
rnacentral:rRNA from 1 species